GUUUUAUCAUGCAACAGGAGAUGAAAGAAGGCAAGAUGGAAGCAGCAUCUAAGAAAUACGUACUUUAUCUCUGGAAUUCAUGGCAUGGCCUGUGCUGAGCCAAUGGCCUGAGCACUUCUCCCUGUCUGGGGUGGCGAUUCCCUGGUGACAAAGAAGAGCCUGUUGUCUCAGCUCCGCACAGCCGUGAUGGUCCUGAGCUCCGUUCCCAGCCUUGCGCUGACUCACUCGCUGACCUUGCUGAGAAAGUCUGUGGGCUGCACCAUCGUCUCCUAAGGGGACUACAGGAUGUGCAUGAAUCAAAGGCAGCCUGACCAGAUCGUGGAGAGAGGCACACCCAGCGACAGUCCUGCAGCUCUCCUUGGGAUUAGGGCAGCUACUGUUGGAAAAGCUUCUUGGCUGUGUGAGGGACAAGCUGGGACUGGGGAUGGGCUAUGUACCCUGUUUACUAGCUGAAGGACCCAAACGUAGCCAGCUUCACGCCUGUUCUGAAAGUCUGUGUAUGCCUCCAAGGUACCUUAUGUUCCCGUCAAGUAUGUAGCUGAACUCCUACACUUUUUUCAUCCCAGAACAAUGCAGCAAAGUGCAGGGCCCUCCCGCAAUGCCCUGCCUGUUUCCACCACCUCCUUAGGGUGCUUGGAUUUACAGGACAUGGAAAGCUAUCUAUUCAAAUAGGGUUCUAGAUCCUCUUGGGAAAAUGAGAUAGAACUGCUUCAUAUGGCACGCUGAAAUGAAAAUCCCUGGCCCUGCCAACUCACAGUCCUUUAAAGGUAGUCAUUAGACUUCUCCUCACCUACCAUAGACUACAAACACAGGAAAAUGUGGCAAGCUGACAAGAAAGGCUGUCUUAUCACUGAAGAGUCUCUAUCUAAGAUGUAGGGCAGAACUAGCAAGCUAAAAUUUAGGUUUAUGGGGUAGCUUGCCUUGAUACUGCACUAUUAUUGAGGGAAGAAAGCAGGCACCUGCCAAAGAAGGUCUGUAAAACAGAUGCAUCACAUACAUUGCGUAAGUCGUGCUUUUUAAGAGGCUCUCUGCAGUCACUGAAGCAGGCCAGCCCAG
rnacentral:lncRNA from 1 species